UAUAUCUUCAUAAGCUCUUUUAAUUUUUAUCUUAAUUGUCAUCAAAACAUCUAUAUUAUUGGCGAAGAUGAGCAGCAGCAAUAAGCAUCUUGUUUCAAAAGUCCUAGUCCUGGUGUUGCUUAUUCUGGCUACAGAAAUGGGGCCAAUGGUGGGAGAAGGAAAAAGGACUUGCGUUCAGUUGAGCAAACACUUCCAGGGUCUAUGCAUAAAUGACUCCAAUUGUGCCAAGGUUUGCAUUACUGAGAAAUUUACAGGAGGGCAAUGCCAUGGUGCCUUUGGACAAUGCCUUUGCACCAUUCUCUGUGACUGAUAUGGAGAACUUCUUUCUUCUGUAAUUAAUAGUAAUAAUAAUAAUGAUGAUGAUGGUUGAUCUGUACCAAUAUGUAUGAUCAGUAAGGAGACCAAUACUAUGUGGUCUAUUGUUCUACAGAAUAAAAAUGGAUGCACUCUUUGCAUGAGACUGAGAAUAUAUAUGUAGCAUAAGAAGAUUACUUACUUUGUCACUUAAUGAAUAAAACUGUGUUAUUCAUGCUUGUAAUAUUAAAUUAAAAUAAACAAAUGUAAUAAUGUCUCUACUUUGUUCAUGUUCA